CAGCCAAACCCCUGCCUUACUGACCUCUCCCCUGGAGGAGCAGGAGGAGCGCUCGAGGCCGCCCUGGGAGGGCUGAGAGGCAGGCUCUGGACUGGGGACACAGGGAUAGCUGAGCCCCAGCUGGGGGUGGAAGCUGAGCCAGGGACAGUCACGGAGGAAGAAGAUCAAGAUGCGCUUUAACUGAGAAGCCCCCAAGGCAGAGGCUGAGAAUCAGAAGACAUUUCAGGAGACAUCUACAAAUCUGAAGGACAAAACAUGGUUCAAGCAUCUGGGCACAGGCGGUCCACCCGUGGCUCCAAAAUGGUCUCCUGGUCCGUGAUAGCAAAGAUCCAGGAAAUAUGGUGCGAGGAAGAUGAGAGGAAGAUGGUGCGAGAGUUCUUGGCCGAGUUCAUGAGCACAUAUGUCAUGAUGAACAUACAUAUGAUAGUUGAGAAAGACACAUAUUCUGAUCAUGAAGAAAUAAACACAAGUUAAAUAUGACUAAGCAGAAAGAUGGAAGGACCAGGAACGGUGAUGCUAACUUGGAACCACGAUGCAGGCUCUAAACUCCUCUAAAAUCAUCCUCCCUUGUGAGAAAAAUACAUAAGUCACUCUUAAAAUAAAUAGAAACCUGAAC
rnacentral:lncRNA from 1 species